rnacentral:lncRNA from 1 species
CGUCGUCGAAAAUGAUCUACUGGUGCUGGUGUGAGCCAAAUAAAACCAAGCUCAAGGUUAUGUGAGAUAUAUUUAUGAAAAUCCAUUAUGAUGAAUCUCAAUAUGAACAACAUCGUCAGGAUGGCUCAAAAAAAAUUAAAACCAAAUGCAGUACCAACUUUGUUUGGUGAUGUUUUGUUAGAUUAUUUGAGUAAAAUCCACCAAAAUAAAAGUAACUACAUGAUGUUAGUUGGACUUCAUUUGAAUCACUAAAGCAGUUGUCAACAAUAAACUUAGGUAAAUCUUUUUCCAGACCAUUGCUUGAUGUAAUUAUAGAUGAAUAUACCACUGACAACAAAAAGAGUUUAUUCAAGUUACCAAAGUCUAAUAAUACCAAAUCUUUACCAAGUGAUGAGCAGCAGAUUGAAUUGCCACUAGUAAACUUAGAUGAGGAUCAUUUAGUAUCAAUUUUUACUCAUAAUAUAUUUAUCCUGAUACUUUCAACAGUUUUUUAUCAAUUCUUGCUGAUGAAUUACAAGCAGAAAUAAUUAAAAAAUAUAAUAAAGGAGUUAUUAAAUUUAAUUUCAUGCUUCAAAAUCAACAUCGUCUUCAUCACCAUGAAAUUUCGAGUUUAAACUAGGAAGUAGAAAGCUUAAAGAAAAUAAAUAUUAGUUUAGACUGUGAAUUACGAGUUGAAUAAGAAAAAAGGAUACAGUCAGAAAGACAACGAGAAAAAAUUAAAAACAAGUUUAACAAGCUUCUUAAUGUAUUCGAAAAAUUGUCCAUUUUUAAAAAACCUUUUAAUUGAGUUAUUUUAUUUACUUAUUCAUAGUAUGCGACAGGCAAAAGCCUACUGAAGCCAGAAAAAUAUAUUUUGUUGU